rnacentral:lncRNA from 1 species
CCCCCAAAAGAAAGAAAGACAUUUUUUGGGGGGGAGGGUUUGUUUGUUUUUCUUUGGUACCAGGGAUCGAACUUGGGACCUUGAGCUUUCGAGGCAGGGGCUGGAACCACUGGGCUAAAUCCUCGGCCCAAGAAAGACAUUUUUGUUACUUGCAGCUAGGAAACCUGACUGCUAUGAUCCUUGAGACAGGACAGCUGAAUAAUCUUCCUUUCUCUUUUUCAGAGGAGGAGCUCCGGGCCUCGCUGUCACUGGGAAUGGCUGCUGUUCUCAUCAGGGGAGCUCUGAUCUUCACCGUGAGCAUCACUUCCUGGCUCCAAUCCCUCAGCCUGGUGGCACAAAUCCUUCACCCCACCGGCGCAGGUUUUCUGGCUUCCACCACUGGCCUUUAGGCCUUCCAGGUGCAGAUCCUCGAGACGGACAAGCAUGAGACAUUGCCAUGCAUUCCAGGCCACUGGCUGGAGUUGAGGAGCACAUUGCCUUGGACUCUAAGCCUUUAGCUGGACUUGUGUGGGACAUUGCUGGGAUCCAGGCCCUCAGCUGAAUCCUUUGGGCUUCUAGCAUGCAGUUAAUCUCUUGUACUCCUUUGUAUUUGACUUUUUGGGUAAUUAUCAUAAAUAAUCUUAUGUUAUAUGUCCUAUAUUUAAUGUAUUUCCUUGGCAAAUCCUGCUGACUACAACAACAUCUAUCAAUUAAUGUAAUAUACCACAUCAGUAGAAGGACAAAGCUCAAUCACCUAAAUAGUAUCUGACCAAAUUCAACACCCCUUCAUGACAAAAAUACUCAGCAAGGUAAGACUAGAAAGGAACUUUCUCAACAUGAUAUAAACAGCCUCUUUAAAAACAUCUUGAUUAAUGUUGAGAGAGCAAAUGCUUUCCUCCUAGGAUCAGGAACGAGGCAAGAAGGUCUGCUCUUAACACUUUUAUUUACCAUUAUAGUGUAGUAGUUCUAGUCAGAGCAAUUAGGCAAGAAAAAACAAUAAAAGGCUUCUUGACUCGAAAGGAAGUAAAACAUCUCUCACAGAUAGCAUGACUUUGUACAGUACACAGAAAAUCCUAAGGAAUCCAUGAAACUACUAGGCCUAAUAAGCUCAGCAAGGUUACAAGAUAUAAGCUCAAUAUACAAAAAAAUUUUAUCUCUGUACACUAGCAAAAUAACAUAAAACUGAAUAAAGAAAUCAAUUCAAAAGGAUAAAAUACAUAGGAAUAGAUUUAACCGAGGUAGUACAAGUGGUCUAUCACUGAGCCACUCCAAAAAGACAGAAGUGGGGCCAGGGAUUUAGCUCAGUGGUUCCGUCUGCCUCGAAAGCGCAAGGUCCCGAGUUCGACUGCCGCUACCAAAAAAAAAAAAACCCGAAAAACAAAAAGACAGAAGUGGGUCAGGGAUUAUGUGGGGCAGGGGUGGGGCAUGAGAGGCCAGGGGGAGUAAUUGCUCAUGGCCAGGGUUGCUUGAGGAGGGUGAUGAAAUGUAAAAUUAAUUGUUGUGAUGGUUACACAAUUUUGUGAAUACACACAAAAAAUUGCAUUGUACAUUUUAAAUAGGUGAAUCAUAUGGUGUGUGAAUUAUAUUUCAAUCAAGCUAUUAUUAAAAAAAAACAAUUAAAUGAAACCCAGCCAAUGGCACAGCUCGUAGGGACUGGGGGCAGCAUUAUUGGCCGAAAGGAAAAUUAUAUUGUAGCAGUUUACUCCAUUUUAACACAGUGAGGAUUCCAGUACACAUCAAAAUAGGAAUGUUAGGGCCGGGGAUUUAGCUCAGUGGUUCCGCUGCCUGUCUCGCAAGUGUAAGGUCCCGAGUUCGAUCCAGCUGGCCAUGAAGACCAAGUGAGGCUCAAGAGGAGGCAGUGUGUAUUCUGCAGGCCUGGGAGACAUCAUUACAUUCCUUAGCCUGAAAUCCAGCACCUCUGAGAAGCUGGCAAAGCUAACUCCGGACCUCUCCAACCUCUUCUUCUGAUGCGCCAGACCGGGGCCAGGCCAGUCCCGUCCCACCACUAAAAUGUAGCCACCUGGAAAGGCUUGCCACACCCUGCCUGCAUCCCGUUUCACUGUACACAAACGGCAUCACCAUACUGGAGUUUCCCAAUUCCACGUGUAGCGUGCAAGCAUGGCAAGGGUCCAGGCACAUACACACCCCUUCCCCAGCCUGUGAGGAUGAGAGGACCCAGCCCCGGUUCCCACCUAUGCUCUUCUCUUACUCCCACCUGCUCCAGCUGGGAUUCUGCAACCCCUUGCUUGGCCAACCUCUUCUUCUGAUGCUGGCCAGCCCGGCCAGGCCAGUCCCGUCCCACCACUAAAAUGUAGCCACCUGGAAAGGCUUGCCACACCCUGCCUGCAUCCCGUUUCACUGUACACAAACGGCAUCACCAUACUGGAGUUUCCCAAUUCCACGUGUAGCGUGCAAGCAUG